UACGUAGGUGGCAAGCGUUGUCCGGAUUUACUGGGCGUAAAGAGCGCGCAGGCGGCUGGGUCAGUCCGAUGUGAAAGCUUCCGGCUUAACUGGAAAAUUGCAUCGGAAACUGCUCAGCUUGAAGGUGGGAGAGGGUAGCGGAAUUCCCGGUGUAGUGGUGAAAUGCGUAGAUAUCGGGAGGAACACCAGUGGCGAAGGCGGCUACCUGGCCCAUUCUUGACGCUGAGGCGCGAAAGCUAGGGGAGCAAACGGG
rnacentral:ncRNA from 2 species